rnacentral:rRNA from 1 species
UACGUAGGUGGCAAGCGUUGUCCGGAAUGACUGGGUGUAAAGGGAGCGUAGACGGUAAAGCAAGUCUGGAGUGAAAGGCUGGGGCCCAACCCCGGGAGUGCAUUGGAAACUGCCAGGCUGGAGUGUCGGAGGGGUAAGCGGAAUUCCUAGUGUAGCGGUGAAAUGCGUAGAUAUUAGGAGGAACACCAGUGGCGAAGGCGGCUUACUGGACGACUACUGACGCUGAGGCUCGAAAGCGUGGGGAGCAA